UACGGGGGGGGCAAGCGUUGUUCGGAAUUACUGGGCGUAAAGCGCACGUAGGCGGCUUCUUAAGUCAGGGGUGAAAUCCUGGAGCUCAACUCCAGAACUGCCUCUGAUACUGAGGAGCUCGAGUCCGGGAGAGGUGAGUGGAACUCCGAGUGUAGAGGUGAAAUUCGUAGAUAUUCGGAAGAACACCAGUGGCGAAGGCGGCUCACUGGCCCGGUACUGACGCUGAGGCACGAAAGCGUGGGGAGCAAACAGG
rnacentral:rRNA from 1 species